rnacentral:lncRNA from 1 species
GACAGUUGGCAUGAAGUAUGAAGGCUAUCGAAGUUGGCAUAAAGAUUGUAGUGAAGCCUGCUGCACCUUAUGAGUAUGCAAGCAAUUACUCCAAAUACAAGCAUAAUUGAACCUAUCAGUUGAUAACAAAAGCAUUAAGAGAGAUCCGAAGGACAUAUUUUCUGAACGAAAAGGAGCAUGUAAUGCUGAACUGUUGAACACCU